AUGGAGAUCCCUGUGUAGGAACCUACAAGUACCUGGAUGUGGCUUACACCUGUGGCUAAAUGUGAGGCACGCACGCAUACGGAGAUCUUCUGAGGAACAAAGACCAGAGACUUCUUGGAUAUCUUCCUCUUCAUUGGGUGGAUUUGUCUUUCUUUCCUGUCCUCUCUCCUCCUUUGAAAUCUCAAUUAAAUGUAAAAUCUGUAAAUUGCAUAUUUCCAUGUCAAUUCAAGAUUUGUAUAUCACAUUGUGUAUUUGGUCAUAGGCAUAAUUUGUGUGUAGUAACAUGUUUUGAAAUGAGGCCCCUCUGGAUCCUUAUCCCUGGUGCUACAGCAAGGCACAGUCAAGAGGAUGAAUGGAGAAAUAAACCAUUAACCCCAAAAAAUGAACUUUACUUCAAAUAACAUUGUUACCAUAAUACUUAGUGCACUUUGUGUACUAAAGUAUUUCUUCUGAACUGUGCUGUUUGAUCUGAAUUAAACUAUUCAGCAUAGACAA